rnacentral:rRNA from 1 species
GACGAACGCUGGCGGCGUGCUUAACACAUGCAAGUCGAACGAAGUGGCGAACGGGUGAGUAACUCGUAAUCAACCUGCCCUUCAGAGGGGGACAACAGUUGGAAACGACUGCUAAUACCGCAUACUGAAGGAGGGGAUUGCGUGUGAUUAGCUAUUUGGGGGGGUAACGGCCCACCAAGGCGAUGAUCGGUAGCCGGGCUGGGAGGGUGGACGGCCACAUUGGGACUGGGACACGGCCCAGACUCCUACGGGAGGCAGCAGUGGGGAAUCUUCCGCAAAGGAAGAAAGUCUGACGGGGCAACGGCGCGUGAGUGAUGACGGCCUUCGGGUUGUAAAGCUCUGUUAAUCGGGACGCGGUACCGGAAUAGAAAGCCACGGCUAACUACGUGCCAGCCGCCGCGGUAAUUC